GAUGCCCAUGAAGGGGGAAAAUAAGCAGGCAAAAAUCAAAAAACAGAAACCAACUCUCAAAACUCCAGCAGAGGGCAAUGAAGCUGUUAAUAUUUUGGAGUUGAUUGACCACCAGUUGAGACCCUGCAGUUCAUCAGUUGAGAGUGACAAUUCCAGAGUGACCAGCUGAGCAUGUAAUAAGAAGGAAACUGGAGAAAACCUCAACUACUUUAUGAUUAUUCCUAUGAUUUGUUCUUAAAGCAGAGAAGCAUCUUUUUAUUUGUUUUUGAUAUCCUUGUUUGAUGAAACUAGCAUCGUUUUAGAAAAAAGAUAAUUGUUUUAGUAAAAAUGACACAUACUCAUUGAAAAAAUAAACCCCUUCAAAACUG
rnacentral:sRNA from 1 species